AUUGAACGCUGGCGGCAGGCCUAACACAUGCAAGUCGAACGGAGUGGCGGACGGGUGAGUAAUGUCUAGGAAACUGCCUGCUGGAGGGGGAUAACUACUGGAAACGGUAGCUAAUACCGCAUAAUAUCAGAUCAGCCUCGUGUGGAUUAGUUGGUUGGUGGGGUACAGGCCUACCAAGGCGACGAUCCGUAACUGGUCUGAGAGGAUGAUCAGUCACAGUGGAACUGAGACACGGUCCAGACUCGGACGGGAGGCAGCAUUGGGGAAUAUUGGACAAGGGGCGAAAGCCUGAUCCAGCCAUGCCGCGUGUGUGAAGAAGGUCUUCGGAUUGUAAAGCACUUUAAUUUGGGAGGCGUUACCAGCAGAAUAAGCACCGGCUAACUCCGUGCCAGCAGCCGCGGUAAUAC
rnacentral:rRNA from 1 species